rnacentral:rRNA from 1 species
GGUGGAGAGUGGCGCACGGGUGAGUAACACAUGGCUGACCUGCCCCUCAGAGGGGGACAACCGGUGGAAACGCCGGCUAAUACCCCAUGCUUGCGUCCGGGUUAGAGGCCGGAUGCAGAAAGGCCGAGGCGCUGAGGGAGGGGGCUGUGGACCAUCAGCUAGUUGGUAGGGUAACGGCCUACCAAGGCGAGGACGGAUAGGGGGCCUGAGAGGGUGACCCCCCACACGGGCACUGAGACACGGGCCCGACUCCUACGGGAGGCAGCAGUAAGGGAUAUUGCGACAAUGGGCGAAAGCCUGACGCAGCAACGCCGCGUGGAGGAUGAAGGCCUUCGGGUUGUAAACUCCUUUUCUGUGGGAAGAGGAAAGGACGGUACCACAGGAAGAAGUCUCGGCUAACUACGUGCCAGCAGCCGCGGUAAAACGUAGGAGGCGAGCGUUAUCCGGAUUUACUGGGUGUAAAGCGCGUGCAGGCGGUCUGGUAAGUCGAGCGUGAAAGCUCCCGGCUCAACCGGGAGAGGACGUGCGAAACUGCGAGGCUAGAGACAGGUAGAGGCGUACGGAAUUCCGGGUGUAGUGGUGAAAUGCGUAGAUAUCCGGAGGAACACCAGUGGCGAAGGCGGUACCGCUGGGCCUGGUCUGAC